GAUGAACGCUAGCGGGAGGCUUAACACAUGCAAGUCGAGGGGCAUCGAGAGUAGCAAUACUUGUCGGCGACCGGCGCAAGGGUGCGUAACACGUGAGCAACAUACCCGUUUCAGGAGGAUAACCGGAGGAAACUCUGCCUAAUACUCCAUGACAUCAUCAAACGGCAUCGUUUGAUGAUUAAAGAUUUAUCGGAAACGGCUUGGCUCGCGGGACAUUAGCUCGUUGGUGAGGUAACGGCUCACCAAGGCCACGAUGUCUAGGGGUUCUGAGAGGAAGGUCCCCCACACUGGAACUGAGACACGGUCCAGACUCCUACGGGAGGCAGCAGUGAGGAAUAUUGGACAAUGGAUGGAAAUCUGAUCCAGCCAUGCCGCGUGCAGGAAGACGGCCCUAUGGGUUGUAAACUGCUUUUAAUGGGACAAUAAGGUUUACGCGUAGACCGAUGAGAGUACCAUAUGAAUAAGCAUCGGCUAACUCCGUGCC
rnacentral:rRNA from 1 species